UACUUUUCCAUGAUGAAAUCAUUUCGGAUGUAAAGCAGUCUACGGAUGCAAAACCCGAGAGCGCAAAACCGUGUGGAUUUUUCCGUUGCCUUCCUUCUGAUCUUUAUU
rnacentral:snoRNA from 1 species